rnacentral:rRNA from 1 species
UAUCUCUGUAGAGUCUGCAUAUCAAUAAGCGGAGGAAAAGAAACUAACAGGAUUCCCUUAGUAACGGCGAGUGAAGCGGGAAGAGCUCAAAUUUGAAAUCUUCAAGGUUUUACCUUGACGAAUUGUAGUUUAAAGAAGUGUUUUCUGUUGGAGUUUCGGUAAAAGUUCUUUGGAAUAGGACAUCAUAGAGGGUGAGAAUCCCGUAUUUGACCAUUAUUUCCAGCUUUGUGAUACACUUUCAAAGAGUCGGAUUGUUUGGGAAUGCAGUCCAAAAUGGGUGGUAAAUUUCAUCUAAAGCUAAAUAUUGGCGAGAGACCGAUAGCGAACAAGUACCGUGAGGGAAAGAUGAAAAGAACUUUGAAAAGAGAGUUAAACAGUACGUGAAAUUGUCAAAAGGGAAGCGUUUGACACCAGUGUUGUUUUCUCGAAAAUCAAUUAAAAAUGGCUUGAUUUUGUGUUGUAUUGACCUUAAAAGCUUUCUUCACUUUUUUCAUGUCUUUUUUAAUGCACUUUUCGUUUAACAAGUCAACAUCAGUUUCUUUUGUUGUAAAAAGGGUCAUUGGAAGGUGGCUUUCUUUUCGGAGAAAGUGUUUAUAGCCUUUGACUUCUGCAAUCGGAGAGACUGAGGUCUGCAGCGUAGAUCCUUCUGGAUUAGAUUCAUUUGUGCUAAGUUACAACCGUUUAUAGACAACUUGUUGACUAUAUUCGAUCCUGUAGCUUACUCGCUUAUGUAAUUUUACCUACGCUUAGGAUGUUGAAGAUGUAGCACAUCAU